rnacentral:rRNA from 1 species
UACGGGGGGGGCAAGCGUUGUUCGGAAUUACUGGGCGUAAAGGGCUCGUAGGUGGCCAACUAAGUCAGACGUGAAAUCCCUCGGCUUAACCGGGGAACUGCGUCUGAUACUGGAUGGCUUGAGUUCGGGAGAGGGAUGCGGAAUUCCAGGUGUAGCGGUGAAAUGCGUAGAUAUCGCUUGGAACGCCGACGGUGAAAACAGUCUGCUGGGGGUGUGCUGACGCUGAGACACGAAAGCCAGGGGAGCGAACGGG